GACACAGGGAGGUAGUGACAAGAAAUAACAAUACGGGGCUCAACGCCUUGUAAUUGGAAUGAUGGGAACCUAAACCCCUUCCAGAGUAUCAAUUGGAGGGCAAGUCUGGUGCCAGCAGCCGCGGUAAUUCCAGCUCCAAUAGCGUAUAUUAAAAUUGUUGCAGUUAAAAAGCUCGUAGUUGAAUUUCUGCCGCAUCGCGGCGGCCCUCCCGGGCCCAGCG
rnacentral:rRNA from 1 species